rnacentral:rRNA from 1 species
UGAGUAACACGUAUGCAAUCCACCUGUAACAGGGGGAUAACCCGGAGAAAUCCGGACUAAUACCCCAUAAUAUAGGCGCUCCGCAUGGAGAGUCCAUUAAAGAGAGCAAUCUUGGUUACAGACGAGCAUGCGCUCCAUUAGCCAGUUGGCGGGGUAACGGCCCACCAAGGCGACGAUGGAUAGGGGUUCUGAGAGGAAGGUCCCCCACAUUGGAACUGAGACACGGUCCAA